rnacentral:rRNA from 1 species
GGGAACUGAAAGGACGACCUUCGGGAGCCUAUACAGGUGUUGCAUGGCUGUCGUCAGCUCGUGUCGUGAGAUGUUCGGUUAAGUCCGCUAACGAGCGCAACCUCGUCGUAUGUUAUAUGUGUCAUACGAGACUGCCGGUAAAAAGCCGGAGGAAGGUGAGGAUGAUGUCAAGUCAGCAUGACCUUUAUAUCCAGGGCUACACACACGCUACAAUGGUCUGUACAAUGGGUAGCCAAGCUGCGAGGCGGAGCCAAUCCUGAAAGCAGGCCUCAGUUCAGAUUGCAGUCUGCAACUCGACUGCAUGAAGCCGGAGUUGCUAGUAACCGCAGGUCAGCAAUACUGCGGUGAAUACGUUCCCGGGUCUU